AACGCACAUUGCGCCCCUCGGUAUUCCGGGGGGCAUGCCUGUUCGAGCGUCAUUACACCCCUCAAGCGCAGCUUGGUAUUGGGCCCUCGUCCCCUGGGCGUACCCGAAAAGCAGUGGCGGUCCGGUGUGGAUUCAAGCGCAGUAAAUAUUCAUCCGCUCUGGAGAAGCAUCGUGGCCGGCCAUUAACCGCCCAACUUUCAAGAAAUAGACCUCGGAUCAGGUAGGGAUACCCGCUGAACUUAA
rnacentral:misc_RNA from 1 species